AUUCUCAUUUUUAGAACAUUUGACAAAUUUGAAAUAAUAAAAAGAUUAACAUGACCUUUGCACAAGGAUGAAAAGCACAAAUUUAGUAGUGAUUCUUUUUUUU